AGGAGACCAUCCGCCGUCUCAUCAGGAGCAUGCCCAGGCAUUGUAGGGAGGUCAUUCAGAAAUGCAGGCUUGGUUGGGAUUAUUGUUCUGUUGAUGGCUCAGUUACAUGCUCCUGAUCAACUCAAAGACUGCAAGGUCCUCAGCUCCAGGGGCUUACACAACAUGCUCCUCCGAACCGGCACACCAGCAUACUGGACAGCUAGAAUGAGACAUUUGCGCUCAUACAAUGUGUUUGAUUUCCCAAACAUCAACACGGCUGAAUGUAAAUUAAUUAUCAAUGAAUGUGGAAAGAAAACUAACUACAUGAUAUUUAGCAAUAGAGUGAUUCCUACAGAUGUGUUGAUUGAUAUUGAUGGGGUUGUGAUUAAGUGUGUGAUAGAGAUCAAAUUGGGUGUUAAUCUUAAUGAAAACACAAACUGGAAACCACACUAUAAAGAAAACAUAUAAAAGAAAAUUGUAUUAUUAUAUAAAGUGAAAGACUCAUUGAAUGAUGAAGCAUUGUUGAUAUUCUAUAAUUCACUGUUUGUUCCCUAUUUGACUUAUUGUUUAGAAGUUUGAGGGAAAGCCUGUAAAGCUUAUAGACAUUCUUGUUUUAUUUUGCAAAAAAAGGGCUGUUAGAAUUAUAAGCAGAAAACGCUACAGAGAUCCAACAAAUCCAUUGUUCUUCAACUUAAAAUCUAUGACAUUUCAUGACUUGGUGGACUAUUAUAUUCUGCUAGUUAUGUUUAAAAUACAUACCAGUAUACUACCAGCACAUUUGCAAAAAAGAUUCAUUAAAAGAGAUGGGAAUUAUAAUUUGAGAGGAUCAGAGAUUUAAAAAAAAAAAAAACCUAAAGUCAGAAUUAAACAAAUGGAUUGUUGUAUUUCUGUUUAUGGAAUAAAUCUGUGGAAUAAUCUGUCUAAAGAAACCAAAAAGUGUACAUUAAAUUCUCCUUUUAAGAAAAUGAUAAAAUAUAAUAUUCUAUCAAGGUUUAAUGAAGUACAUUGAUUCAGUAGAGUGCUGUAACAUUACAAAGAUAAUAUAUGUUUUUUUUUUUUUUUUUUUGCUUGCUUUGUGUUUAAAGAUGUAUAUAUCUCUAUAUGGAUGGUUGAUGGAUGUUUAGUUGCCUAGGGUAUAGUGAAUUGACAUUUGAGAGUAGGUGUAGACUACAUAAGAUUUUUCUUUCUUCAAACUACUCCUUUUUAUUCAAAACUUUUGUUUAUGUCAACAUGUGACAUGUUUAUUUUAAAUUGUAAAUGAAUGAAAUAAAUAAAUUUAAAAAACAACAUAUUGCCGUGCAUCAUAUCCUAGCUCCUCUAUUUUAGUCUUAAAACUCCGAUGGAUUUUAUUCCCAAAGUUUUGUUUACUUUAGAUGAAACUUUACAAACGUAAGUCACGAUGGUAUUCUUAAGAGGCUUUCUCCUGUUUUGGAGAAACCUUAUAAACUAAAUCAAUCUGAUGGGCAGCAGCUACCCAGCUCCUCAGUAAUCAUUACAAGGGAUUUCUGUCUAGGCUUUGUUUUAACACAUCUGUAUGGUCAAGAUUAUCAAACUGCAAUAACCUACGUUAAGUCAGUUGUAUUAGCAGCAUUGCUGGCUGCCAGUUUCUCUGUUUAUUUCAGUAGAACCACAAAGGGUGUGCCUAGUUUUCCUCCAUAACUGUAACUGAUACACCAUAUAAAAGAUUAAAAUGGCCGGAUCGAGUGCAUAGCUAUACCCCAUGAAAAAUAAAUAAUUCAACUUGAUUUGUCAAAUAAGAAUUUCAUCCAAAAUUUAGUAGACUGCUAAGAAAUGAUGUUUAGAAAAUGUAAAUUUUAGAUUGAAGUCUCUUAACUCCUAGUGGUAAGACGUUACUCAGUAAAUUAGGGCAACAGCACCCUCUAGUGGCUAAUUUACAUUUUGAGUCGUCACUUUUGCUUGUGAAAUAUUUAAAAUAUUAGAAAAGCCAUAAUACUGCAAUAAAGACAGUGCUCAAAAUGCAAUAUCAAAGACAAGUUUAUUUACAUAAAUAUUUUGAAAACAAAAGGCAAAAUGAACAGCCUUUACCUUUCAAAAAUGUUAAGAUUAAACUAAUCAAAAUCCUUCAUAUCUUUAACAGAUCAAAAUGCACAGCUUCCAAUGACAUUCCUUAACACUUGAUCAGGUUUAUGUUCAGCUACCAGUAUUUGAGUUAUGAUCAUAAAAGCUUUUAGUUAAACCCUCACAACAUUCAAGAUGAUUUAAUCUUUUAUUUUCUUUUUAAAUCCAAUUCCCAGAUUGAUGCCUGAAUUUUCUUCUUUUUUAAUGUACAAAUUCCCCGUUAGGGUUUUUAGGGUCUGAGGUUGAUCACGUUUUAUUUUCAAGGCAGAAAGGCAACAACUUUUUAUUUCGCCCGAGUCGCAGUUCCAAAACUUUUCAACAGCGAAAACUCCAUUUCCAGAAAACAGAGUUGCUCAAAACUGCAAUAUGCAUCAUGGUAUAUAUGACAGUGUAUUUGCACAGUUAGAAAACAGUGGUUGCAGUUUUAGAAGCCCCCGUCAUUUUAGUGAAGACACUCGUCGAUUCCUCCAGUAGGACAAGAAGCUCACCCCUCUAGCCAUAUUGCACCAGGGACACAUUGAGAAGUAAUGCUAUUUAGAAACAAGACUGUGUUUAAUGACUGAUAAUCAUCAAAAUUACAUCCAUCCAGCAAAAAUUAUUUCACCUGAUAUAUAAAAAAAUACUUUUUCCCUUUCAACUACUGCAAACAGUACAGUUGGCAUCAUUCUUUACAUAAUAACUAGAAAUUUCUUUUGUAGAACCAGUAGUCUUACUCUGUGUGACUCUUUCCGCACCUGAAACAAGCUUUCAACCUAAUUUAAUAACUUUUGUGCAGAAAAAGCUGUCAUUAGAAACAAAUCACCUAAAACCUUUAAUAUUAAAGAGAACAUGUGCACAGGUUUCAUUAUAUGUACGACAACGUACACAAUAAGUGAGGUCACAGAAGAGACCAGUAGUUAGCAAUGAGAGGUAUAUCAUUGACUACAGUAGCAAGUUCUUCUGGUAUCAGACUUAUCUUGGAUUUUUUUCACCAGCGAGUGCCCUCCUCCCACAGGGCUAUUUCCCAACAAUUUCACUUGCAUGUUGAAAUAAAAGAGAAAAAUACUGAGUUUACCACAAACCUGAGCCAAUCUCAAUUUACUAGUUGGGUCAUGAAGGGAAGUCAAAGCUGGUUUGAGUUUGUGUA